rnacentral:lncRNA from 1 species
GCAGCAAGACCCAGUGUGGACACAAUUAAAACUGACAGCACCUACAGGCCCCAAAAACCUGAACCAAAGAAGGUAGAGAAAAGUCUUCCUCGCCAACAGUUCCAAGUAGAGGAAUAGCCCUUGCAAAAGUGUGAGGGUGUGAGGGAGCGG